GGCACGAUGGCUGAGUGGUCUAAAGCGUGAGACUCGAAUAAAUUUCGGUGAUAUCUUAUCUCUUCGGAGGCGUCGGUUCAAAUCCGGCUCGUGUCG